GGGCUCUCGAUGGUGGCAUCCCUGGCGCGAAGGUGGCACCAUGUAUCGCUUUCUGCUAGGGAACAAACAAGGGCUCAUGCAUCCCAGGGGCUGACAGUCAUCUUCUGACCUCUGUGCCUCCACCUCCUGAGUGUUGAGAUUAUAAAUGUCUAUCAGCAUGCCUAGUUUAUGCAGUGCCUAGUAUGACAUCCAGGAUUUCCUGUAUGCUAGAUCUGACGGUACUGCUCAUCUGUGCCCUCCUCACCUGCAUCUUCUUCUUCGUCCUCUUCAUUGUGGUAGGAGCUGGGGCUGUCACUGGUGUAAGCACUGGAGGUACCUGGACUGGUCCGCUCUGACAUGCUGGGCCCACUCACACAUCCCCCUACUGCAACCACAGCCACUGCUGCUGUAGCUGUGGCCAUUGAGAGUGGCUGAGGCAUCCGGUUAAGGGCCAGGUCUGGCGUGGAGAACUUGGCCAUCUUGCGGCUGCCGUUGUUGCCACCACUGCCUCCAGCCUCCUUCUGGCUGCUGUCCCACAGCCUCUUGGCCAUGGGUGUGCAUUGCACUGAGUCCAACUCCUGUUCUGUCUUGACCCGUGACACAAGGGGCAGUGGCGUGCUACAGGCUGGCCACCCCAAUGUCUGCGCUACAGGACUCUGAGGCUCUGAGGAUGGGGCCUCCUCCGGGUGCAGGCCCUGGGAGUCGCAACUUGGAGAGCUAACUUUGAGGAAGAACUCAGUGCCUUUCUCCAUGAUCUCCUGGAUCUGCAGGAAGCCGGCUGUGUAGAUGAGCAGAAACUGGUCUCCCAUGUUCAUGCUCAGCCGGCCUGUGUAACAAAAUGUGAGGAUCUGCUGGAAUGACUGUGGCUGCACAGCGGCCGGCAGUUCUACCACAGCACUGCGGCUGCUGUUGAAGAGGUCCCGGAAGUAAGAGCUACUAGCGGCCAGCACAGCACGGUGGGCUUUGAAGGCAUGGCCCUUCACCACUACUGACACGUCACAGUAUAGUCCCUGUAGCCGCUGCUCAUUGAGGCACUCAAGGAUGCUGUUGCCGAAGUUUGGAAUCUCCAUCUGUAAGGUCUGCGCCAUGGCAGCAGCUGCAUAAGGACAAGAGAUAAGAUACUGACAGGUCAGGUGGCAGAAACCAACAUAGGCCCUGCCCUGCCCAAGCAACCUCCUCACCUCCUACAGGAGAGCAUGUGGGAGUCACAAACAACAGCCACAUGGUAAAAUCUGCGAUACAUCUAAGAAUGGCAGUGCCACUUCCACUUCUGUCCCCUCACAGCCAUGCCUUUAUGACUGAGUCAUCCCAAGGGCCUCUGCAGGGGACUGGUGCAAGAACACUAUAGAUACUAUUAUGCACAGUCACUCAAGCCCCUUUGCCUUUUUGUGGAGCUUGGGACAGAACCCAGGGCCUUUAGCAUGGUAGGUAAGCGCUCCACGACUGAGCUCCUGAACCUUGUUACUCAGUUGGUCCGAGUCUUGGUCUUCUUGCCUCCACCUCUCGGAUACUGGGGUCACUGCUGUGCUUCAUGUGUAUUAUAUGGUCUCUAGGACUGAUACUACCUGGUUUAAUAUAAGCACUAGGUAAUACUUUCCAUAUUCAAGUCUUUUCUAUUGGAGACAGAUUUCUCAUUAUAGCUGGUCUGGAACUUACAGAACUACCCCCAUCUUAGCCUUUAGAAGGCCAGAAUCAUCACAUCUAGAUUUAAAGAUUUAUUUAUUUAUUAUUAUAUGUAAGUUCAGUGUAGCUGUUGAUUACAGAUGGUUGUGAGCCGCCAUGUGGUUGCUGGGAUUUAAACUCAGGACCUUCGAAAGAGCAGUCAGUGCUCUUAACCGCUGAGCCAUCUCACCAGUCCCGCAGCUGGAUUUAAAAUGAACGUUCCUGACAGGGGUCGGAGAAAUGGCUCAGUAGUAAAGAGUACUUGUCUCUUACAGAGGACCAAGAUUUGAUUCCAGGCAUCCAAAUUUAAAACCAUCCAUUCCCCAGUUCCAGGGGACCCAACAGAUACACAUGUAUGCAUACACACAUGUAGGCAAUAUUCAUGCACAUAAAAUAAUAGUAAUUCUAAGAAAAAAACUUUUAAAAUAUUCUGAUCAGUGCUGGGGGAUAGAACCCAGGGAUUUACAUAAUCUAAGCACAUACUCUACCACUGAGUUUAACCAUCAGAGGAAUGCUUUGUGGCUCUAUGGUUGGUUGAAUGUGAGGAUACUGGACCUACAGACUCAGAAUAGAUGGCCCAAGAUCAGUUUCUUGCAUAUAAGAAGACACAGGCAUAGUGCACCAACAUUCUUACACUCAUGUUAAAAACGGCCAUUGGCAUGACAAUACGACAGUCUGUGGCCCAGAAUAUGACCUUAAUGCACUCACUAAUCAUACAGCUAGUCACCAUGAAAAUGCACAUUUAAAUUAUAAUGCAAAACAGCCUUAUGCUGUAGGCUUGAAAGCAGGAACAAAGCAGGCAAAAGGCUGGGUGUGUGAACAAGGUUCUAAGUUCCAGCCACCUCUAUCUCCACAGAAAAAUAUGGCAGGUUCUACCAACUUUGAGAACUUUGAACUCUCUCACACUGCUGGUGAGAAUAUGAAAAACAACUUGGGAAACGUUUCAAGGUUCUUCACAUGAUAGGAAAAAGCAAGACCGAAGGACCACAUGGCACAGGAUUCCAUUUAUAUGAAGUCUCCAGAAAAGGCAAAUCCAUUAACAUAAAACAGAAGGUUGCAAGGAGCUGGGAAAGAAGAAUGGAAUUUGCUUAGAGCAAAAGAAUGUGUGCUUACUCUCAGUAUAAUGAACUAUCAAUUAAAAUUAGCAAUGAUUGAUCUUU
rnacentral:lncRNA from 1 species